rnacentral:rRNA from 1 species
AAUCAACGCUGGCGGCGCGCUUAACACAUGCAAGUCGCACGAGAGAGUGGAGCAAUCCAUGAGUAAAGUGGCGUACGGGUGAGUAACACGUGGAUCAUCUGCCUCUUGGUGGGGAAUAACCUUGGGAAACCGGGGCUAAUACCGCAUAAGCCUGGAAAGGGAAAGCAGCAAUGCGCCGAGAGAGGAGUCCGCGGCCGAUUAGCUAGUUGGUAGGGUAAUGGCCUACCAAGGCAAUGAUCGGUAGCCGGCCUGAGAGGGCACACGGCCACACUGGCACUGAAACACGGGCCAGACUCCUACGGGAGGCAGCAGUGGGGAAUCUUGCACAAUGGGGGAAACCCUGAUGCAGCGACGCCGCGUGAGCGAUGAAGCCCUUCGGGGUGUAAAGCUCUUUCGGCAGGAACGAUAAUGACGGUACCUGAAGAAGAAGCUGCGGCUAACUACGUGCCAGCAGCCGCGGUAAUACGUAGGCAGCAAGCGUUGUUCGGAGUUACUGGGCGUAAAGAGUGUGUAGGCGGUUCUCUAAGUUCGGUGUAAAUCUCCCGGCUCAACUGGGAGGGUGCGCCGGAAACUGGAG